rnacentral:rRNA from 1 species
AAGUGAGAAUGCCGGUGUGAGUAGCGAAAGACGGGUGAGAAUCCCGUCCACCGAUUGACUAAGGUUUCCAGAGGAAGGCUCGUCCGCUCUGGGUUAGUCGGGUCCUAAGCUGAGGCCGACAGGCGUAGGCGAUGGAUAACAGGUUGAUAUUCCUGUACCACCUAUAAUCGUUUUAAUCGAUGGGGGGACGCAGUAGGAUAGGCGAAGCGUGCGAUUGGAUUGCACGUCUAAGCAGUAAGGCUGAGUAUUAGGCAAAUCCGGUACUCGUUAAGGCUGAGCUGUGAUGGGGAGAAGACAUUGUGUCUUCGAGUCGUUGAUUUCACACUGCCGAGAAAAGCCUCUAGAUAGAAAAUAGGUGCCCGUACCGCAAACCGACACAGGUAGUCAAGAUGAGAAUUCUAAGGUGAGCGAGCGAACUCUCGUUAAGGAACUCGGCAAAAUGACCCCGUAACUUCGGGAGAAGGGGUGCUCUUUAGGGUUAACGCCCAGAAGAGCCGCAGUGAAUAGGCCCAAGCGACUGUUUAUCAAAAACACAGGUCUCUGCUAAACCGUAAGGUGAUGUAUAGGGGCUGACGCCUGCCCGGUGCUGGAAGGUUAAGAGGAGUGGUUAGCUUCUGCGAAGCUACGAAUCGAAGCCCCAGUAAACGGCGGCCGUAACUAUAACGGUCCUAAGGUAGCGAAAUUCCUUGUCGGGUAAGUUCCGACCCGCACGAAAGGCGUAACGAUUUGGGCACUGU